UCCCUGGUGGUCCAGUGGAUAAGACUUUGCCCUCCCAAUGCAGGGGGCCCGGGUCAACUCCUGGUCAGGGAA
rnacentral:tRNA from 1 species